AGAAUAAUAAAGCAGGUCAGAAGUUAUAUUAGCCUUGAGGUUGAACAUGUUUAUUAGCCUAAUAUUCUUCGAUGUUUGUCUUUCUUUUUAUUAUGUAUACCUUAAAAAUUAAAUAUUAACUUAAAAUACUAAUAUUAUUGCUAUUAUUUAUGGUGCACUUACAGAAUAUAAUCUAUGUUUCAGCAAAAUGGAAGUACUCCUAUCCUAAUUUUCAAAUUACAAUUCAUAACCUUUCUUUUU
rnacentral:lncRNA from 1 species